rnacentral:rRNA from 1 species
AACGAACGCUGGCGGCAGGCCUAGCACAUGCAAGUCGAACGCCCGUAGCAAUACGGGAGUGGCAGACGGGUGAGUAACGCGUGGGAACGUGCCCUUCGGUUCGGAAUAACUCAGGGAAACUUGAGCUAAUACCGGAUACGUCCGUAAGGAGAAAGAUUUAUCGCCGAAGGAUCGGCCCGCGUCGGAUUAGCUAGUUGGUGAGGUAAUGGCUCACCAAGGCGACGAUCCGUAGCUGGUCUGAGAGGAUGAUCAGCCACACUGGGACUGAGACACGGCCCAGACUCCUACGGGAGGCAGCAGUGGGGAAUUUUGGACAAUGGGGGCAACCCUGAUCCAGCCAUUCCGCGUGAGUG